GUGGGGAAUAUUGGACAAUGGGCGAAAGCCUGAUCCAGCCAUGCCGCGUGUGUGAAGAAGGUCUUCGGAUUGUAAAGCACUUUAAGUUGGGAGGAAGGGCAGUAAGUUAAUACCUUGCUGUUUUGACGUUACCGACAGAAUAAGCACCGGCUAACUUCGUGCCAGCAGCCGCGGUAAUACGAAGGGUGCAAGCGUUAAUCGGAAUUACUGGGCGUAAAGCGCGCGUAGGUGGUUCAGCAAGUUGGAGGUGAAAUCCCCGGGAUCAACCUGGGAACUGCCUCCAAAACUACUGAGCUAGAGUACGGUAGAGGGUAGUGGAAUUUCCUGUGUAGCGGUGAAAUGCGUAGAUAUAGGAAGGAACACCAGUGGCGAAGGCGACUACCUGGACUGAUACUGACACUGAGGUGCGAAAGCGUGGGGAGCAAACAGGAUUAGAAACCCCAGUAGUCC
rnacentral:rRNA from 1 species